GCUCCCGUGUGUCCGCUGACACCCCUUGUCCCUUGUCCCCGCAGCGGCCCCCUCCACCCAGCUCGGUGGUCUCUGCCGACCCCGCUCCGGCUUGUCAGUGUCUUUCCGCUAUGGAGCGGGUCAGAAGCGGACCCAGCACCUCGAGGUCUUCUAGCAAUGUCCUGUUUAAAGCCACACGAGUCAAAGGCGACAGCAGGCACUGUUCAGCCAGAUGCUUGAGAUGCAGCUCCUGCUGCUUAUUCAAGGGGAGAGAACACCGGGGGCAGGCAGAGUUCAAAAUGCAACCAGAAGCUCCGAUUUCUGUCUGAACUCCCUUUGUCUGGAAACCAGGUCCCAGGAGACUGUGCUGCUUCCUGCAUGAAUGGAACGUACCCACUCGAGGGCAGAGGCUCUGACUAAUGCCUGGGCAGACAUUUACCUCCCCUCAGAACCAGCAGCACAUCGUGUCUCCAUCACCUGGCUGAUUAAAAUUCUGGGUGCUGCAGUGAGGAGCACCAUGCAAGCACACCAGGAACAUCUUCACCUGUCAACACGGGGUCUUUCCAGUCCACAUAGGUCAAGGAAAUAUUAAAGCUUGCACAGAAUAAUGUACCAGAAUUAUUGCUCUACAAGUAAGAUUAAUCAGUCCCAUUGCAGCUCAUUUCUCCCAAAUUUCAUGUGAAGCUGUAUGAAAAAAGUAAUAAAAUAAUUGUAAAAUGUUGGAUUUAGCCUGUAGGAAAACAGUAGUCAAUUGCUUUAAUACAGCUUGAUCCUACCCUUUGUAACAUGAAUUAUGAUGGCAUCCUGGGCAAAUAACCUCACAUUAC